CGGCAUGCUGGGAAGGCGCCCGGGCGGCGGCCAUUUUGUCUUAUCGGCUCCUCUUUGGAAGAGGCUUUUCGGCUUGAGAGUGGGCCGAGGGGUCGGUUCGGCGGCCGAGCGGCUGGUAGUUUUCGUUGGUGGGUGCUAGGGCUGGUGUGAGCAGCCGCCCGGAGGAAGCACCAUGAUUUCUGCCGCGCAGUUGUUGGAUGAGUUAAUGGGCCGGGACCGAAACCUCGCCCCGGAUGAGAAGCGCAGCAACGUGCGGUGGGACCACGAGAGCGUUUGUAAAUAUUAUCUCUGUGGUUUUUGUCCUGCGGAAUUGUUCACAAAUACUCGUUCUGAUCUUGGUCCAUGUGAAAAAAUUCAUGAUGAAAAUCUAAGAAAACAGUAUGAGAAGAGUUCUCGGUUUAUGAAGGUUGGCUAUGAGAGAGAUUUUCUGCGAUACUUACAGAGUUUACUUGCCGAGGUAGAGCGUAGAAUUAGACGAGGUCACGCUCGAUUGGCAUUAUCUCAGAAUCAGCAGUCUUCUGGGGCUGCUGGUCCAACAGGCAAAAAUGAAGAAAAAAUUCAGGUUCUGACAGACAAAAUUGAUGUGCUUCUACAGCAGAUUGAAGAGUUAGGAUCUGAAGGAAAGGUAGAAGAAGCCCAGGGAAUGAUGAAAUUGGUUGAACAGUUAAAGGAAGAAAGAGAAUUACUCAGAUCUACAACCUCGAUCUCUGAAACACGUUUACCAGCUUAUUAUAAAGGAUAUUACAAAGGAUGCAGAUGAAGAAGAGAUGCAUAGGUAUGGGAGAAGGGUUGUGAAGCUUCCAUCUCCUCUUCAGGUUCACCACCUUCUAGGAACCUCCAUUUAUUCAGACUAUAGAAAGUUUUGCUGCCCAAGAAAAACAGAUGGAAGUUUGUGAAGUAUGUGGAGCUUUUUUGAUAGUAGGAGAUGCCCAGUCCCGGGUAGAUGACCAUCUGAUGGGAAAGCAACACAUGGGCUAUGCCAAAAUUAAAGCCACUGUGGAAGAAUUAAAAGAAAAGUUAAGAAAAAGAACAGAGGAACCUGAUCGGGAUGAACGUCUCAAAAAAGAGAAGCAAGAAAGAGAGGAAAGAGAAAAAGAGCGGGAGAGAGAAAGGGAAGAACGGGAAAGAAAAAGACGAAGAGAAGAGGAAGAAAGAGAAAAAGAAAGAGCUCGUGACAGAGAAAGGAGAAAGAGAAGUCGUUCACGGAGUAGACACUCAAGCCGAACUUCUGACCGGAGAUGCAGCAGGUCUCGGGACCAUAAAAGAUCACGGAGUAGAGACAGAAGGCGAAGCAGAAGUAGAGAUCGACGAAGAAGCAGAAGCCAUGACAGAUCAGAAAGAAAACAUAGAUCUCGCAGUCGGGAUCGAAGACGGUCAAAAAGCCGAGAUCGAAAGUCAUAUAAACACAGGAGCAAAAGUCGGGACAGAGAACAAGAUAGAAAGUCCAAGGAGAAAGAAAAGAAGGGAUCUGAUGAUAAAAAGAGCAGUGUGAAGUCCAGUAGUCGAGAAAAACAAAGUGAAGACACAAACCCUGAAUCGAAGGAAAGUGACACUAAGAAUGAGGUCAAUGGGACCAGUGAAGACAUUAAAUCUGAAGUGCAGCGUAAGUAUGCACAGAUGAAGAUGGAGCUAAGCCGAGUAAGAAGACAUACAAAAGCCUCUUCUGAAGGAAAAGACAGUGUAGUCCUGCAAAACAUUUUGAGGUACAUUGUUUUGUCUCAGCUAUUUUGUAGCAGACUUCGUGCCCCCAUUAGUGUGCCUCUUUGGAAAUUACUGUCCACGUAUGUAAUAUAGUCGCCAUUGAAAAGUUAAUUAUCCUUUUUUUAGGGAUUUUGCUGUCAUUUCUUUUUUUUCUUUUUUUUUUUUUUAAAUAAAAAGGUUGAACUGUUUUUUUUCUUUUUGGUAUUAAGUCCAUCUUGUGUUGGUACAUUGGCAGAAACAUAUGCUUUAAAACUUAACUAUUUCUGAGGCACAUGUUGGACUACUUUGUUUUAAUUAAACUGCUAGUAUUUAUUUGUCCAGGAUGUUUCUAGUUUUUUGCUUUAUUGCCUUGCAUUCUAAUGCAGUUUGUUCUGUAACUCGAGAGCCAGUAGCAUUGGAUUGAUGGAAGUGUAGGGUUUAUGAAUUAUUGCAGCUGACUACCAUACCUCACACAGCGUUGGUGUUGUGAGCGGCCCAUGAAAAGCCAAAUUAGAAAUCAAGGAUUCAGUCAAACUAAGCAGGUAUUCAUGCCAGGUACUCCUUUCUCUACCCACAUCCGUGUUUGAAUGCUAUUGCCUGUGACCUUUACGCUUAACUGUUGUGUAUCCUUUUUGUUCUUUACAAGAAGCACAGAGGGGUUUUUUUGUGUAUUGCGUGGAAUCUUACAAAUCCUAUGUUAACAGAAUGGAAUUUUUUUUCAACUGUGUGUAGGGAUGCAGUGGUGCCCAGAAUUAGAUAUCUUUAAAGAAUUUAAAAUACAAUAAACACUUCAUAUUACCCGCCUUGUUACAUUCAGUGCAAUUCUCAAGUCUUUAAGAGGUAUGUGUUUAAUGUUUCCUACUGUGUAGGAGAAUUUGCAGUCAGCCAUAGUAUAGAGGAAUAAUCACUGGCUGAGACAUUGAAAGUAACAGCAUUUAGCAAGGACAGACACUUGGAUCAGUGACACAAAGAACUGAUUAACUAUUGGAUGAGGUUGGGUUCUUAAAGAACUGUUUAAAGCUAGGUUUAUAGGUGUUCUUAAAACCUCUAACUGUUCAAUCUUCGGGCUAGUGGCGUGGGAUGAAAUAUUCCUAAUGAAAGGAAGUACCAAUUAGUUGAUUCAUUGGUGGCAUUCCUGUUUUAGAAAAGCAGUGUAGUUAUGUCUGUGUGAACCAGUUACACAUAGGCAGUACACACAGGCACAUGGCUCUAAGAACCACACUGAUGCCUUGAUGUAAGAACAAUACAUUUUAUAUACACAUGUAUCGAUUGGUUAGCAGCUAGCAACUGGGCCAACACUUAGUCAUAAAAUUUGACCUUUUAUAUGCUGUCUAAUUAUCAAUUUUCCCCAAAUUUUGCAUUGUAGGACUACUGUUGAAGAGUUUUUGAAGAAUACUGAAAACGGAAUAAAGUGAAGAUCAACAUUAAAAUGAGGUGAAAGAAAGCUAUAGUGGCGUAGAAAAAGUAUAAAGCUCAGUUAGUAAUUUGUUUUUUAUUAUUAUUAAAAAUUAAUUCAGGACUGUUGUGACCUACCAGAUUUCAGAACAUGUGUUAAUAGCACAUAUGCCACUUUGAAAACUUAGGUCCUGUAUCAUAUUUUUUUCUUUAAGACUUUUUAAGAAAUAUUACCUAAACAUGUGGCUUGCUCAGUGUUUACUUGCAAGUUUUCAGUCUUGGACUUUGAAAACAGGAUUAAACAUUAGUAUUCAUGUGAAGCAGACUGGGAUUCCAUUUUUACACUUCUGCUAUACUUAGCCUUUGGAUUUAGAAGUGAAAAUAAAGUAUCUCUGACUUUCUGUUACAAAGUUGAUUGUCUGUGUCAUUGAAAGGCUUUAGUGUUACUCUUUUUCUAAUAAAGUGACCUACUCCAACUACUUCCUUGUUUUUAAAUAUGAGGCAGGCACACUAGUAAUGCAGGUGCAGUGAACACUUCCUAACCUGUCCUGAAGGAUAAUUUUUUAUACAACUUACUGUUUGAUGUUUUAAUGGUGCUUCAUCUUGGCUGGUUAUAAAUAAAUUUGCAUUUGCUUUCAAUAA